CAGAUUCUUUUGAGGUGAACGGGGGAUCUUAAGCAUGUAUCCGUUUGAAAUAUCUCAAAUGUUUCUGGUGAAGAAGACAUCAUGGACCUGAACUUCACAUCAAAGACAAGCCCUCAAUACAGCUUGCUAGAAAAAGCUCUUCCUUCAGAUGACUACAAGAGGAUCAAUGCUGGGAUCGAUACAAGAUUCUUACUGUUGAUUCAAGGCUUAAGGCCUAAAUGGAGAGGGCAACAACUGCUGUGUAUUUUGAUCCCAAACAAGCUGUGUCCUUUGAAAUGCCAGCGCUUGGCGUUUGGAAGAAUGCUGGAGAACUUUGACGCAACAGAGGGCACCAGCAAAAGAGCAGGUAGAAGAAGGUGGGUGCCCUACAUGUUGCAGGACUGACCAUGCCGAAUGCUGAAGACCUUGCUGUCCCCAUAGGUAUGCUGAGCAUCUCCAUCAUUACCCUCCCUUCAGCUCGUGGGCUGAUAUUAAAUGGACCUAGUGGCAGAGAUGCUGGUGGCAGGAGCUGCUGAGCUCAGCAGUGCUUCAGCAGGACACGCAGAAUUCACAGAUUUUCCCCGACUGAACUCAAGAGACACUUGGACAAAAUGCCUGUGGGGGCUGGUGUGUCUCAAAUUUGAGUGGAAAAUGUUUGCACCAAGACCAGGAAAACUAAUCCUUUGCUCUUGGUUUCUGAAGAGCCAGAGGUUUGUUCAGCUUUUGAACG